GGUGGUUCUGUAUGGAAGGGCCAUCGCUCAACGGAUAAAAGGUACUCCGGGGAUAACAGGCUGAUACCGCCCAAGAGUUCAUAUCGACGGCGGUGUUUGGCACCUCGAUGUCGGCUCAUCACAUCCUGGGGCUGAAGCCGGUCCCAAGGGUAUGGCUGUUCGCCAUUUAAAGUGGUACGCGAGCUGGGUUUAGAACGUCGUGAGACAGUUCGGUCCCUAUCUGCCGUGGACGUUUGAGAUUUGAGAGGGGCUGCUCCUAGUACGAGAGGACCGGAGUGGACGAACCUCUGGUGUUCCGGUUGUCACGCCAGUGGCAUUGCCGGGUAGCUAUGUUCGGGAAAGAUAACCGCUGAAAGCAUCUAAGCGGGAAACUUGCCUCAAGAUGAGAUCUCACUGGGACCUUGAGUCCCCUGAAGGGCCGUCGAAGACUACGACGUUGAUAGGCAGGGUGUGUAAGCGCUGUGAGGCGUUGAGCUAACCUGUACUAAUUGCCCGUGAGGCUUGACCAUAUAACACCCAAGCAAUU
rnacentral:rRNA from 2 species